GAAAAAUCAGGUAUACUCUUUCCAAAUAAGGUUCUGAGGUUUUUGUUUUUGUUUUUGUUUUUUAAAGAUUUUAUUUAUUUAUUCAUGAGUGACAGAGAGAGAGAGAGAGAGAGAGAGAGAGAGAGAGAGGCAGAGACACAGGCAGAGGGACAGAGGGAGAAGCAGGCUCCAUGCAGGGAGCCCAAUUCGGGACUGGAUCCUGGGUCUCCAGGAUCACGCCCUGGGUUGAAGGCAGGCGCUAAACCGCUGAGCCACCAGGGCUGCCAGGUUCUGAGGUUUUGAGUGGAUAUGGAUUUUGAGGGGAUGCUAUUCAACUCACAACAGCUCAUAACUGAGCUGAAAAUUUUAGGAGAUAUUAAAAUCAUUCUAAAAAUCACAGAUAGAAGUUUUCUGAGCAAUAAAGACUAUGUUUUGAUUUAUUUUGUAUCAUAUUCUCACUUAUUUUUCACUUAGUUGAUUUUUCUUUCCCUAGUUGCUCCUGUCUCAGAAGGCUAUGUGUUACAGAUGUGAAAGGAUAAAUUCACCCCUGUGGUUGAUAUUUAUGGGAAUGCAAGGUGACAGCUGGAAUCUCAAAGACCUCCUGGAGCCUCACAGGGUGUUGCCAAUCAUCUUGGAAAUGGAGCCAACCUUGCCCUUCGGGGCCUUUAUGCCAAACAAGCCUACAUUGUCUGCAUCAAAAGGACAGAAGAUUACAGAAUAAAAACAGAAAAAGGAGAAGAAGGUAAUUUUUUUGGAAAAGCAGGACGAUGUCUUUGAGAUUAAAAACGUAACCCAUGCUAAUUAGUUUUGGGGAUGGGUUCACACUUCCAAAAAAUAAUUUAUAAUCAAAAGAGUAAAUAAAGG
rnacentral:lncRNA from 1 species